CGUUGACCGAGGGGGCCCCAGCGGCCUUCCCUUCGGUGUAAACCUGCUCUUGUUGCAACAAAACAGGGCUAUUGUGGCAACGCUAAUCUGGGGAUUUUGAUUCUUCUGUCGCAUGAUCAGCAAAUGACCCCCCACUUGGACGCCUGUGGUUCUUUGGACCCCACUUGGAAUUGUAGCUGUCAUGUCACCAUCCAGUUUGUUGUGAGCGACGACCGCUAUCUAGUGGCUCUCAUGAGGUCCUUUGUGAUGUUUUCCUCAAGAGCAUCAAGGCAAACCGUAGAAGGACCCUGGAGUCCGAGGGUUCAAAGUUCACGCUCGGGAGGAAAAACUGUUCUGACGUGCCAUUUGUAAUGACUACCAGUCUGGCCUACUUGUGAUGUGAGGUAAAGGACAAGAAAAGCUGGCACAGAGGAGUCUCGGUUCAAUCUGAUGAAACUAUAAAAGGAAUGUUUGAAAUGAUUUCUCGUGGACUGGUGUUGACACACCAUGACUUCAGUCAGACGUGGAGGGAGGAGUUGAUGUUUCAAUCUGCUUGAAGUUUAAAACAACAACGGUGUCCUAAGGAAAAGCAGGCUACGUUUCAGUGUUAUGAUGGCGAGGAAGGCUGCCAACCAGUGUAAAUGCUUUUCAGGCAUCUCAGAUUGGCAUGAUUUGCUGUGUCUACAUCUGCUCAAGGAGAUGUUGAGAAACAACCUGGACUCCCUCCAUCAUCCUUUCUUAACUGCAUUAGUAGCACAAAAAAAUAACAUAUUUUAGUAAUGCUGCUUUUAAACGUAUCUGAGUAAAACUUCCAGAUGUGUUUUUUUAGACAAUUGAAUCCACCUUUUGUUUCUUUUCCCAUGAAGCUGCAAAAGCAAGAUGAUUAGACAUUUCUUAUGCAGAUGACUAGAUUAGAGAUUUGUAAUUCUGAUAAAUUGCUAUAAUGACCAACUAACAAGAUGUAUAAGAAAUUGAUUUUACAUCAAAUAAGGCUCAAAAUUUACAAAGGUUGACGUUCCAUAACUUGCAAUGUCAUGAAAAUAGCCCUCACUGGUAUUUAAAAAAAAAACAUUGAUUGAAACAUUACACAUUGUACACUGAUAGGGGGAGCAACCACAAUACAAAAUACGCAAAAUACAAAUUGCGAAAAUUUGACACCCGCCAAAAUGGUUUGGAAUUGCAUGUAGAUGUUUUUUAUAAAUUUUAUAUAUAUAUAUUUGCUGACCAUCCUUGCUCCGCCCCUCCCUCUCCCAUAUACAAACCCAUAAGGGAUAAAUUCCUAGCUCCGCCAUUGCUCUUUUUUAGACAAUUAAAGAACCCAGUUUUGUGAAGAAGUUAUGUUAAAUAUACAAAAUAUUAACGUAACCAGAAUAGUGUAACAACUGUGACCUGUGUUAUGUUCACAAAACAGAGGAAAAAUUAAAUAAUUAAAUCCCAUGUACAAUACCUCCUUGGGAUUCAAUUAUUUCCUACAGUUGCUUUAAAAAACAUCAAAUUUGCAAUAGAGGUUUUGAAGUCAAUGAGAGUGAGAGUGGUUUUUGAUGAAAAUAACAGCUA